AGGACGAACGCUGGCGGCGUGCCUAACACAUGCAAGUGGAGCGACGAACCAGGCUUCGGCCUGGGGCAGAGCCGCGAACGGGUGAGUAACACGUGGGUAACCUGCCCUGAUGAUUGGGACAACCCGAGGAAACUCGGGCUAAUACCGAAUGUGCCCUCCGGCCUCAAGGCCGCUGGGGAAAGGAAGCUUCGGCCUCCGCAUCGGGAUGGGCCCGCGGCCCAUUAGCUUGUUGGUGAGGUAACGGCUCACCAAGGCAACGAUGGGUAGC
rnacentral:rRNA from 1 species